rnacentral:tRNA from 1 species
CAUUAGGAAGCUGUACAGCGUUAACCUUUUAAGUUAAAGACUGAGAGUACUUAAAUCUCUCCUUAAUGA